rnacentral:pre_miRNA from 1 species
AGACCAGUCACUCAGGGAUCUUGUUAAAAUGCAGAUUCUGACACAGGAGGUCUGAACGCUGAGAUUCUACAUUUCUAACAAGCUCUCAAGUGACUCUAAU